UACGGGGGGAGCAAGCGUUGUUCGGAUUUACUGGGCGUAAAGGGCGCGUAGGCGGUCAGCACAAGUCAGUUGUGAAAUCUCCGGGCUUAACUCGGAAAGGUCAACUGAUACUGUGCGACUAGAGUGCAGAAGGGGCAACUGGAAUUCUCGGUGUAGCGGUGAAAUGCGUAGAUAUAGGAAGGAACACCAGUGGCGAAGGCGACCACCUGGACUGAUACUGACACUGAGGUGCGAAAGCGUGGGGAGCAAACAGG
rnacentral:rRNA from 1 species